GAAAUGCGAUAAGUAGUGUGAAUUGCAGAAUUCAGAGAAUCAUCGAAUCUUUGAACGCACAUUGCGCCCCUUGGUAUUCCAUGGGGCAUGCCUGUUCGAGCGUCAUUUGUACCCUCAAGCUCUGCUUGGUGUUGGGUGUUUGUCCCGUCUCCGCGCGUGGACUCGCCCCAAAGUGAUUGGCAGCCGGCGUACUGGUCCCGGAGCGCAGCACAUGUCGCGCAAACGAGUGCCUUGGUACGGCGGCGUCCAUAAGCCCCUCUCUCACGCUCUUGACCUCGGAUCAGGUAGGGAUACCCGCUGAACUUAAGC
rnacentral:misc_RNA from 1 species